rnacentral:rRNA from 1 species
UACGUAGGGGGCGAGCGUUGUCCGGAAUCAUUGGGCGUAAAGCGCGUGUAGGCGGUCCGGUAAGUCCGCUGUGAAAGUCGGGGGCUCAACCCUCGGAUGCCGGUGGAUACUGUCGGGCUUGAGUACGGAAGAGGCGAGUGGAAUUCCUGGUGUAGCGGUGAAAUGCGCAGAUAUCAGGAGGAACACCAAUUGCGAAGGCAGCUCGCUGGGACGUUACUGACGCUGAGACGCGAAAGCGUGGGGAGCAAACAGG